GGGCAAGAGAGGAAUUUUCGGGUUAGGGCUAGGAGAGUUGCUGGUUAUUGUAUUUAGGUAAAUAAGUGAAGCGGUGGAAUGUGUUAAUUUUGGGUUCGAGAAUAUAGAUGACUUGCUUUUUUGAUUUCUUAGAGAUUUAGGUUAAGACCAGGAUUAGAUACCCUGUUAUGCUUAGUAGAAAUUUCGUGUGACUUGGAGUAGUAAACAGAUAUGAUCUCGAAACUUAAAGAAUUUGGCGGUAUUUAAGUCUAGUUAGAGGAACCUGUGCUGUAAACGAUAAACCACGAAUAUCUUACUUUGUCUGGGAAAGACAGUUCGUAUACCGCCAUUAUAGGCAAUCUCUAAAGAGGUUUGUUGGGAUAGACUUUGGUUUAGUAUAUUAGGUCAAGGUGCGGCUAAUGAUAAAGAAGUUAUGGGUUACAUUAUUAUUAGUGUAUAUGGAUCAGUGUAUUAAAUCUGUGGUUGUGAAAGUGGAUUUAAUAGUAAAUGGGGUAAAUUAUGCCUUUUUGAUAUUAGCUCUUAGAUAUGUACACAUCGCCCGUCGUUCUCGCUUU
rnacentral:rRNA from 1 species